UACGUAGGGUGCGAGCGUUAAUCGGAAUUACUGCGCGUAAAGCGUGCGCAGGCGGCUUUGCAAGACAGAUGUGAAAUCCCCGGGCUCAACCUGGGAACUGCAUUUGUGACUGCAAGGCUAGAGUACGGCAGAGGGGGAUGGAAUUCCGCGUGUAGCAGUGAAAUGCGUAGAUAUGCGGAGGAACACCAAUGGCGAAGGCAAUCCCCUGGGCCUGUACUGACGCUCAUGCACGAAAGCGUGGGGAGCAAACAGG
rnacentral:rRNA from 1 species